AGCCCUCCUGCGUUUUCAUCGCUGUAUACGAUUAUGCUCGUUUUUCCUUCUCGACAAGAGUCUGGCUCUGCGUGUUGGGUUGUGUGGCCUUUGCGACUGUAUUUGGGUGGUUUCGUUGUUGUGUCGGACAUAUGUGAUCCUGAUUACGUUAGAUGUGUGUCCACGAGCGAUUGCGUUCUGAUUUCGUUGUAUCGUGUUGGCCAGUGUGCGGGCCUGACCAUGUCGGCUUGGAGGGCAGCGCUGGGUUGUGUUUACUUUGCUUCCCUUCUGUGGGGCUGGACCGUGUGUGGUCCUGUCCGUGCUGGGUUGUGUGCCUGUGUGCUUGUGUCCUUUAGAAGUGUAUUUGCAGAUCGGUGGGGGGUGGAGGGGAGGGCGAGCUGGAGAUGGAACCGCAAGUUGAGGAGGCGGCAAGGGGGCGGGGAGAGGGAUUUCACAUUUUAUUCCAAAUUAUGAUGUAUUCGGAAUCCAGUGUUGGCUUGGAUGGGCCGACGGAGCGCUAUCCGCGGCUGCUCUGUCCAGAGGCCGGUCGGUGCCUCCGUGUUUGAGGGGUUUGUUAGCGAGUGGGAGGUUCUUCCAGGCUCGAAGCUGAGCAGCGCUCGCCGAGGCCCGCGCCUUCACGCCGGUAGCCGCUGGCUUCGGUUUCCGCCGCACCCAGGCUUCAUCCAUUUCUGACUGCUCUGGACCACACCGUGGCCUAACUGCUGGUCUCUCAGCGAGAGAGGGGAAAAGCAAAGAUCCCCGUCCGCAGCUUGGACCUUGGCUCCCGCCCCUCUCCGGCGGCGGCGGAGUGGAGAUCCUAUUCAGAGGGGCCGGUUUCUCUAAAUAUGCCCCAGGAUGACGGAGCGGCCGCCCAGCGAGGCGGCCCACAGUGACCCCCCGCUCGAGGGACGGGACGCGGCCGCGGCCGAGGCCCGCAUGGCCCCCCCGCACCUGGUCCUGCUGAACGGCGUCGCCAAGGAGACGAGCCGCGCGGCCCCCGCGGAGCCCCCGGUCAUCGAGCUGGGCGCGCGCAGCGGUCCCGGGGGCGGCCCCGCUGGUGGGGGCGGCGCCGCGCGGGACUUAAAGGGCCGCGACGCGGCUGCGGCGGCCGAAGCGCGCCAUCGGGUGCCCACCACCGAGCUGUGCAGACCUCCGGGGCCCGCGCCCGCCUCGGCCCCCGCGGAGCUGCCCGGCGACGGCCGCAUGGUGCAGCUGAGCCCGCCCGCGCUGGCGGCCCCCGCCGCCCCCGGCCGCGCGCUGCUCUACAGCCUCAGCCAGCCGCUGGCCUCGCUCGGCAGUGGGUUCUUUGGGGAGCCAGAUGCCUUCCCUAUGUUCACCACCAACAAUCGAGUGAAGAGGAGACCCUCCCCUUAUGAGAUGGAGAUUACUGAUGGUCCCCACACCAAAGUAGUGCGACGCAUCUUCACCAACAGCCGAGAACGAUGGCGGCAGCAGAAUGUGAAUGGGGCCUUUGCUGAGCUCCGCAAGCUGAUCCCCACACAUCCCCCAGAUAAGAAGCUUAGCAAGAACGAGAUCCUCCGCUUGGCCAUGAAGUACAUCAACUUCCUGGCCAAGCUGCUCAAUGACCAGGAGGAGGAGGGUACCCAGCGGGCCAAGCCUGGCAAGGACCCCGUGGUGGGGGCUGGUGGUGGAGGAGGUGGUGGAGGGGGCGGUGCACCUCCUGAUGACCUCCUGCAGGACGUGCUGUCCCCGAACUCCAGCUGCGGCAGCUCACUGGAUGGGGCGGCCAGCCCGGACAGCUACACGGAAGAGCCGGCCCCCAAGCACACAGCCCGCAGCCUCCAUCCCGCCAUGCUGCCUGCCGCUGAUGGAGCAGGUCCUCGGUGAUGGGGCCGGGACCGUUCAGGACCAGCCGGGAGGGCACCUUCAGGCCGCUGGGCCUGUGGGCUUCAGGGCAGGUGGGGUGAGGAUUGGGCAGCUCUGAAGCAGGGCAAUGGACUCGAUGAGCUUUCCUUGGUGUCUGAACUUGGCAGAGCCCUAACUGCCCCCGGGGCAGCUUCCCUGACUCCUGCCUCAGUGGGAGAACAGAAAAAUGGAGCAAAGUGAUCCCCAGCAUCCUAUUUUGCUGAAUAUUAGGCUUGUUUUCUUUCCAAUGCUUGGAAUCUCCUGUGAGGAAUCCCAUCUGUGUAACGAGGGAGCUCCUAUCCUCGGUCCUAAAGCUGCGUCUGUUUCCCGGUGGAUUAAUUUGACCUGGGAGUGAACAGUGGCCACAGUAUGGAUGGAUGGAGAGGUUUUAGGAGACGGAUCGCUCAUUCUAUCAGGAACUCAGGCUUCUGGCUUCCUCUUCUCUCAGACUUGCAGAAUGACGUGGAUAAGUUAUCCCUCUCUGUGUCCGUUUCUCAUAAAAUACCCUGGCUUGGCCUGUCCACUAGGGCUGUGGAUUCCAUUCCAAGUGAAUUCAUGAAAUUAGAAGCAUUUUGAGACCAGAAAGAACUCUUUCAACCUCAGCAUCAUUCCUGCAAUGGGGUUUCCUAUCCUGAGUCCAGGGCCUGGGCAGUGGACCAGUCUGCCUGACUGCGCAGGAUCUGGGUAAUUUAGGUUCCAAACCACUUUUACCUGAGUUAUCCGGAUUGUCCUCAUUUCUCCAGAUUGACCUCACUUGUGUCUCCUUCCAAAGAGAGGUCGAGGAGUGAGAAUGGAAAAAGAUAUGGGCAGAGAAUAUGUAAGACAUAACACAGCUUCCCGCCACGGGCCUGGGUAGGGAUGGGCAAAGCCUCGUGUUUUUGUAAGACUAACUGAAGAUCCACAAUUUUAAUGUUCAUCUGCACCCCCCUCGCCCCACCCACCACACCCUCCUCCUUCCUCUGCCUCGUCACCUAUGAAGAAAUGGCAACCUUCCAAGAAUAAUACCUGUGCCAAGGGAAAAGAUGUAAAAGGGGAAAAAAAAUCGAGAACAGAGAUGAUUGUAAGAACUGGAUGGAUUCGCAUCUUUUCAGGAAAAUUCUUAUGCUUUUAUUGGCGGUGACAAACGACAAGAUGGUACAACCUUUCUUCUUUUCCAAAAACAGAGCAAAGGGCCCAGCAUCUGUAGUCAGCCGACAGCUAUCUCGGCCUUUGGGGAUGGUCUGGUCGUACUUGUGAUUCCGAUGGUACGUGACCCCUCCCCCGCCGAAGGCUCGCCCCUGCCCCUGUACAUAGAGCGUUGUUCCUGUGGGCGGGCCCAGCACUUUCCGUCUCUGUUGUACUGUACGUGAUGGGUUGUGUUGGUCUCUGCAUUUUUCUGCAGAAGAGGAGUAACCGCUCCAGGUACCUUGACCUUUGUACAGCCCGGAGGCCAACACUGUGGGCGUGACUCUUUAGCAACACAACCCUUGUGGUGAUGAUGUGUGUAUAUAUAUAAGGAUAUAUUGGGAAGAUUUCUAAAUAAAAGUUUUACAGACGGG